rnacentral:rRNA from 1 species
UGGGGAAUAUUGCACAAUGGGCGAAAGCCUGAUGCAGCAACGCCGCGUGAGUGAUGAAGGCCUUCGGAUUGUAAACCUCUUUCAGCAGGGACGAAGCGAAAGUGACUGUACCUGCAGAAGAAGCACCGGCUAACUACGUGCCAGCAGCCGCGGUAAUACGUAGGGUGCAAGCGUUGUCCGGAUUUAUUGGGCGUAAAGAGCUCGUAGGCGGUUCGUCACGUCGGAUGUGAAAACCUGGGGCUUAACCCCGGGCCUGCAUACGAUACGGGCGAACUAGAGUUCGGUAGGGGAGACUGGAAUUCCUGGUGUAGCGGUGAAAUGCGCAGAUAUCAGGAGGAACACCGGUGGCGAAGGCGGGUCUCUGGGCCGAUACUGACGCUGAGGAGCGAAAGCGUGGGGAGCAAACA